CGUGUGAUUUGAGGAUGACGAAUUAGCGGAUCCACUCGUUUUCUUCCUUGCCGCCCUUAGUCCAGUGGAAACCUCCCCCCCUUUUUUUGGUUUUUUAGGAAGCGUUGCAACAAAAAAAGAGGUAUUUCAAAUUUGACAUGCGGCCUGGGACCUAAUUCUAAUAAGUAUCUUUCUUAUUGGAACUUCAAA